GAGCAGCGGAAAGAGGGUCUUUGCGGAAAGGGCGCCAGCCCCGGGCGGGGGCGAGCGGCAGACCUCGGGCUGGGAGGAAGGAGCUAGAGAUCUAGGAUUGGUUCUUCGGGCUCUAAUGUCACCAAGUCUGGGAGGGGAGACGGCCGCGGGGGAGGGUUCAGAGCUUGGCUCGGGUCCUGGCCGGUUCCCCCUGGACAGCCGGAGACUUGGGCCGGCCAGACGCCCCUCUGGCACGCUCCCGGGGCAGGCGCUCUCGCACGCCUCGAACGCACACUCCCCGUCCCUCCCUCGCGCACUCACCCGUCUCCCCAGCGCCUGCUCCCGCUUUCUCUCUCUCCCUUCCUAACACACCUCGCUCACUCCCACUCGGGCGGUCUCUUUCGCUCCCACCUGCUCCAAGUCUCGCUCUGCGCACCCCCGGUGGCGCGCCCAGCCCCUGGCGCUCUCGCCUGUCACUAUCGCAGCUUCGCAGCUUCGGCGGGCAGCGCCCCGACUCGCCCUGCUCCUUCUCGCAGAGGCGCGCCUGAUGCCCGGGACCCGCCGCUGAGCCCAGGAGACCAUGGUGGGAGCGCUUGCCCGCCGCGGUACCCACUGAGGCCAUGCCGGCGAGCCAGAGCCCGGCCGGCGCCGGCCAGCGCUUGCUUCUGCUCCUGCUACCGCUGCUGCUGCUGCUGCUGCUCCAGGGCAGCCACGCGGGCAACCUGACCGUGGCCGUGGUGUUGCCGCUGGCCAACACCUCGUACCCGUGGUCGUGGGCGCGCGUGGGGCCCGCGGUGGAGCUGGCUCUGACCCGGGUGAAAGCGCAGCCCGACUUGCUGCCAGGCUGGACAGUCCGCACGGUGCUAGGCAGCAGCGAGAAUGCGCUGGGAGCCUGCUCCGACACGGCUGCGCCCCUGGCCGCAGUGGACCUCAAGUGGGAGCACAACCCCGCCGUGUUCCUGGGCCCCGGCUGCGUGUACGCGGCCGCUCCGGUGGGGCGCUUCACCGCGCACUGGCGGGUGCCCCUGCUGACCGCUGGCGCUCCGGCGCUAGGCUUCGGGGCUAAAGACGAGUACGCGUUGACCACCCGCGCAGGACCCAGCCACGCCAAGCUGGGCGACUUCGUGGCGGCGCUGCAUCGACGGCUGGGCUGGGAGCGCCGGGCGCUGGUGCUCUACGCCUACCGGCCCGGCGACGACCAGCCCUGCUUCUUCGUGGUGGAGGGGCUGUACAUGCGGGUCCGCGACCGCCUCAACAUCACAGUGGACCACCUGGAGUUCGCCGAGGGCGACCACGACCACUACACCAAGCUGCUGCGGACCGUUGGGCGCAAAGGCCGAGGUGAGAGAGGCCCCCCACCCCCAUUUCUCCACCUCGUCCCGCCGCCUGUGACCUUUGACAGCGUGCAGGGCGCUGGCCUUCCUCUCCCUUCCGCUCUGGGCCAGUCUUUUCUCUUCUCGAGGCUCUUCAUUCCUGUCUCAGCCUCCCCCGCUCCCCAACUUCUGGGUUUCUACUUCCCUCUCUUUCCCUGCGCCCCCCUCCCCUUUCACGUUCCUACUCCAUCACCUCCCCCUAUUUCCCUGACUGCCCAGGGUUUACCCCAGGGGGAAAGUGCCUGCUCUCCUUCUACCUAGUAGGUCCUGUCCCCUUUUCCCCCCCGUCUUCCUCUCUUUCUUACUGCCUUCUCCCUCCUCCAUCCUUUCCUCCCAUGGCUCCCACACACCCUCUCACCCAUCCCUCUGCAGCCGGCCCCUCUCUGCCUCCUCCCCUCCUGCCCCACCUGCCCCCCGCCUCGGUUCUCCUUUCCCGCUCUGCCUACCUCUGCUCCUUCCUUCUCCGCCCUCCACACCUCCUCCUCCCACCCUUUUCCAACUUUCUCCUGCCACUGCCUAAACUGAGCCAGUGCCGUUUAACCGCCACCAGGUCCCCUCGUCCUCCCCGUGAGCCCCGGCUUCCCUGCCCUUUCCUUUCCCUGGCUGACUCCUCCUUUCCUUCCAGUCGUCUACAUCUGCAGCUCCCCAGAUGCCUUCAGGACCCUCAUGCUCCUGGCCCUGGACGCUGGCCUCAGUGGGGAAGACUAUGUUUUCUUCCACCUGGAUGUCUUCGGGCAAAGCCUACAAGGGGCACAGGGCCCUGCUCCCCGCAGGCCCUGUGAGAGAGGAGACGGGCGGGAUGUCAGUGCCCGCCUGGCCUUUCAGGUGAGUGCCAGGGUUUGCCCAUGCUGAGGGACUGAGCUGUUGACACUUGGUUUCUGGAUACUGUGUCCCUAAGUAUCUGAAAGGAGGGGGAAAAAAAAAAGGUGUUCUUGGUGCUCCUGAGGGACUUCAGAGCCAGAAGGCUAAAAAGAUAAGACAAUGGGGCUCGAAGAGGGAGUACAUUGAAGUUCCACACGCUGGGCGAAGACUCCAGUCCCUUGCUCAAGAGCAGGGACCACUUCUUGCAGGAAAUAGGGUAUAAUUUGACCUUGACCUUAGCAGAGAGGCUGGCCUGUGAGGUUGGCUCCCUGACAACUGGUGCCAAGGGUACUGGGAGAACAAGAAUCAGCUCCUAGCUCGCUCUCUGACCCCUUCCUCAGGCUGCCAAAAUCAUUACAUAUAAAGAACCGGAUACUCCUGAGUACUUGGAAUUCCUGAAGCAGCUCAAAGUCUUGGCCCGUGAGCAGUUCAACUUCACCAUGGAAGAUGGCCUGGUAGGAGGGGGUCCUGGAACCUUCUAGUGCGGACCUCCAGACUUUGCUUCAUGGCUCUCCUCCAGACUCUCCUCCAGAUGUGUGUUCUUUCACACAUCUCAGUGUUUCCGGGUCUCCCCUUCCCUCCCUUCCCAUUGACUCCUUAUCUCUCUGGAUGAUAGAGGUGACAGUGACAAGUUCAACCCCUAAACCUCAGGUCCUCAUCAGUAAAAUGGGGUUGACCAACCCUGUCCUGUCCGCCCAGUCCCAUACUGUGGGUGUAUUUUAUGUAUCCUGUCUGGGCUCCCAGUGCCUCCUGUCCUCUCGCCAUGGCACCCUGCGCUGUACCCCCCAUCCAUCCCCUUUUCCCCCAGCUGACUUCUCUCUGUCCCUGCAGGAGAACCUCAUCCCUGCAUCCUUCCAUGAUGGGCUUCUGCUCUAUGUCCAGGCAGUGACAGAGACGCUAGCACACGGGGGAACUGUCGCCAAUGGGGAGACCAUCACUCAGAGGAUGUGGAACCGAAGCUUCCCAGGUCAGGGCCUGGGAGUGACUGGAAAGGGCUUUUUAGGGAAGGGGGGGUGAGUACCAUGUGCCCCAGCCUGUAGCCCUGCAACUCAGGUAGCCAUUUGCCCAUUACCAGUCUUUCCCUUUCUUUUAUAAGAACCUCCACAGCUUCUUUCAGGCUCUCCUUCCCUCGUCCCCCAGAUCCAUCCAGUCCUCCCACGUGUCCCAUCUCAGUCCUUCCUGCUGCCAACGCAGCUGUCCUGUUGGCUCUUCUUCUGUGCCUACGUGUGUUUGAAGAUCAGGAGAUGGAGACAUGGAAGUGGGACCUCCCUGCACGGGAAUUUUCUCACAACACAGCUAUGUUGCCCCGGCCCACAGGUGUGACAGGAUACCUGAAAAUUGAUAGCAAUGGAGAUCGUGAGACUGACUUCUCCCUCUGGGAUAUGGACCCUGAGACCGGUGCCUUCAGGGUACGUGUGCACACUCAGAAGACCACCGUGUGUCUCCUCAGGAUGACAUCUCACCCUCCUGCCCUCCCCCACAGCCCUGCCAGGGCAUCUGUUUAUUCUGUGAUCACCCUACCCUGCCUGGACAUCUAUGAAAGCCCUGGACAAAACAGACCCCGUUCCAUUCUGGGGGAGCAACCAGAAUGAUAGGGAUUCGCAUGGGGAACCCCGUGUCUAAGGAGGGAGCACAGCCCUUUCCUUGGGGAGUUCUUAAGGAAAGCAAGACUCCUCGCAGCAGUCAGGUAGACUCUGAGCCAACAGGAAUGCAUACGCACAGCUCACAGCUCGGUAAACACAGUAGAUACUGGCAGGGAUUGAGGCCAGAGGCACCAAGGAUCAAAUCCAGGAAGGCUUCCUGGAAGAAAACUGCACUGAUGAGGCUUGGGAAUGUGGGUUGAGAUGGAUGCUACCUUUCCCUGUUUCUGUGCUUUAAUCGAGGCUAUAAAGUCCUUGCGUGUAGGCGUGGGGUUCUAUAUGCAGCUUUCUUUAUAAAGCCCUUGAGUCAUUUUCAAAUGUUUGCCCCUUAAUUCCAUGGGAACAAGUAUGAGGUCUCCCUGUAGGCGGUCACAGCAGGGGCUUGGUGACCCAGAUACAGGCCCUGGAAGUAUUGAUGAGGAGGUGGGAAGCAGGACUGUGUCACUGGACAGGAGGCCACAUGCCAGGCCCUUGACCAUUCCUGCUCUCCCUUAGGUUGUACUGAACUACAAUGGGACUUCCCAAGAGCUGGUGGCUGUGUCAGGGUGCGAACUAUACUGGCCCCUGGGGUAUCCUCCUCCUGACAUCCCUAAAUGUGGCUUUGACAACGAGGACCCAUCCUGCAACCAAGGUGACUGGCCCUUGCUCUUCGGGCUGCUGUUCUGGAGACACUGCCUCCUCCCAAGGGGAAUCAAGUGGGUGCUCCUCUCCUACCCUUUUCUGGAUUCAGAGCCUCCUCCUGCCUUUUGCUUCCCUUCAUCCACCGCUGUUG
rnacentral:lncRNA from 1 species